rnacentral:lncRNA from 1 species
CAGGGAUCAGCCUGGGGCCGCAUGCUGCUGUCGCAGCCCCACGUGGAAGCAGCGCUGCUGGCUGAGCUGAGUCAGGUUGCCACCUCUUGGUUGGACUUCAGCUUCUACACAGCAAACUUCCUUUAGGACACUUCCCUCCAGACCUUGCCCCUGCGGUGCCUGCCCUGAUGGGCUCAUUGCCAGCUCUUGGUCUGUGAUGGAGCAGCAGUGUGGAGGGGAAGAUAACUGAUGGACACACCAGUGAUGGACACACUUCUCUAAAGCAAUUAAAUGUGAUUGAG